rnacentral:rRNA from 1 species
AACGAACGCUGGCGGCAGGCUUAACACAUGCAAGUCGAGCGCCCCGCAAGGGGAGCGGCAGACGGGUGAGUAACACGUGGGAAUCUAUCCUUUGCUACGGAACAACUCCGGGAAACUGGAGCUAAUACCGUAUGUGUCCUUCGGGAGAAAGAUUUAUCGGCAAGGGGUGAGCCCGCGUCGGAUUAGCUAGUUGGUGGGGUAAAGGCCUACCAAGGCGACGAUCCGUAGCUGGUCUGAGAGGAUGAUCAGCCACACUGGGACUGAGACACGGCCCAGACUCCUACGGGAGGCAGCAGUGGGGAAUAUUGGACAAUGGGGGCAACCCUGAUCCAGCCAUGCCGCGUGAGUGAUGAAGGCCCUAGGGUUGUAAAGCUCUUUCACCGGUGAAGAUAAUGACGGUAACCGGAGAAGAAGCCCCGGCUAACUUCGUGCCAGCCGCCGCCGUAACAC